rnacentral:rRNA from 1 species
CACGUAGGGCGCAAGCGUUGUCCGGAAUUAUUGGGCGUAAAGAGCUCGUAGGCGGUCUGUUGCGUCCGCUGUGAAAACUCGGGGCUUAACCCCGAGCCUGCAGUGGAUACGGGCAGACUAGAGGUAGGUAGGGGAGAAUGGAAUUCCCGGUGUAGCGGUGAAAUGCGCAGAUAUCGGGAGGAACACCGGUGGCGAAGGCGGUUCUCUGGGGCCUUACCCUGACGCUGAGGAGCGAAAGCGUGGGGAGCGAACAGG